GGUCACUGUGUAUAUACAAAAGGACGUGGCAUAGCUAUUUACCACACUUGGGCUGUCUAAAACCGAAGUGACAGAGAAGAUGUGUGGAAUCUUUGCCUACCUGAACUACCUUGUGCCGGCCAAGAGAGAGGAGAUCCUGAGGAUCCUGAUCAAGGGACUUCAGAGAUUGGAAUACAGGGGAUAUGACUCAGCAGGUGUUGCUAUUGAUAGCAGCAACAAUGCUGAAGAUUCUGUUUCUGACAUUGCCAUCAUCAAGAAACGUGGCAAGGUGAAGGCACUGGAAGAAGAAAUU